rnacentral:rRNA from 1 species
AGAGUUUGAUCCUGGCUCAGGAUGAACGCUAGCGGAAGGCUUAAUACAUGCAAGUCGAGGGGCAGCAUUAUCGACAUUAGUUGAUAGAUGGCGACCGGCGCACGGGUGAGUAACGCGUACACUACCUACCUUUCACUACGGGAUAGUAUCGGGAAACUGAUAGUAAUACCGUAUGGUCCAGUAAUGGUAAAGAGUUAUCGGUGGAAGAUGGGUGUGCGUUAGAUUAGCUAGUUGGUAAGGUAACGGCUUACCAAGGCAACGAUCUAUAGGGGGCGUGAGAGCGUGAUCCCCCACACGGGUACUGAGACACGGACCCGACUCCUACGGGAGGCAGCAGUAAGGAAUAUUGGACAAUGGGCGGAAGCCUGAUCCAGCCAUUCCGCGUGGAGGAAGACGGCCUUAUGGGUUGUAAACUCCUUUUAUCAGGGAAGAAACCCCGAGAUGUAUCUUGGGCUGACGGUACCUGAGGAAUAAGCACCGGCUAACUCCGUGCCAGCAGCCGCGGUAAUACGGAGGGUGCAAGCGUUAUCCGGAAUUACUGGGUUUAAAGGGUGCGUAGGCGGCCCAAUAAGUCAGAGGUGAAAUACCGUCGCUUAACGACGGAACUGCCUUUGAAACUGUUGGACUUGAAUC